rnacentral:rRNA from 1 species
GAUGAACGCUGGCUACAGGCUUAACACAUGCAAGUCGAGGGAAAACGACGGGGAAGCUUGCUUCCCCGGGCGUCGACCGGCGCACGGGUGAGUAACGCGUAUCCAACCUGCCUCUGACUGAGGGAUAACCCGUCGAAAGUCGGCCUAAUACCUCAUGGUAUCGUCUGCGUGCGUCCAACGACGAUUAAAGAUUUCAUCGGUCAGGGGUGGGGAUGCGUCUGAUUAGCUUGUUGGCGGGGGAACGGCCCACCAAGGCUACGAUCAGUAGGGGUUCUGAGAGGAAGGCAGCCCACAUUGGAACUGAGACACGGUCAAAACUCCUACGGGAGGCAGCAGUGUGGAAUAUUAGGCAAUGGGGGAGAGCAUUAGCCAGCCAAGUAGCGUGCAGGAAGACAGCGCUGUGGGUUUUAUGCUGCUUUUAUGCGGGGAUAAAGUGAGGGACGUGUCUCUCAUUGCAGGUACCGAAUGAAUAAGGACCGGCUAAUUCCGUG